rnacentral:rRNA from 1 species
GGGCUUGACAUCCCACGAACCUGCCCGAAAGGGUAGGGUGCCCGCAAGGGAGCGCGGAGACAGGUGGUGCGUGGCUGUCGUCAGCUCGUGUCGUGAGAUGUUGGGUUAAGUCCCGCAACGAGCGCAACCCUCACCCCUUGUUGCCACCGGGUAAUGCCGAGCACUCUAGGGGAACUGCCAGCGUCAAGCGGGAGGAAGGCGGGGAUGACGUCAAGUCAUCAUGCCCCUUACGCCCUGGGCGACACACGUGCUACAAUGGCUAGUACAAAGGGAUGCAAGACCGCGAGGUGGAGCUAAUCCCAAAAAACCGGUCUAAGUUCAGAUUGCAGUCUGCAACUCGACUGCAUGAAGGAGGAAUCGCUAGUAAUCGCGCAUCAGCACGGCGCGGUGAAUACGUUCCCGGGCCUUGUACACACCGCCCGUCACACCACGAAAGCCGGCUGUACUCGAAGUCGCUGAG